AGAGUUUGAUCAUGGCUCAGAUUGAACGCUGGCGGCAUGCCUUACACAUGCAAGUCGAACGGCAGCAUGAUCUAGCUUGCUAGAUUGAUGGCGAGUGGCGAACGGGUGAGUAAUACAUCGGAACGUGCCCUGUAGUGGGGGAUAACUAGUCGAAAGAUUAGCUAAUACCGCAUACGACCUGAGGGUGAAAGUGGGGGACCGCAAGGCCUCAUGCUAUAGGAGCGGCCGAUGUCUGAUUAGCUAGUUGGUGAGGUAAAGGCUCACCAAGGCGACGAUCAGUAGCUGGUCUGAGAGGACGAUCAGCCACACUGGGACUGAGACACGGCCCAGACUCCUACGGGAGGCAGCAGUGGGGAAUUUUGGACAAUGGGGGCAACCCUGAUCCAGCAAUGCCGCGUGUGUGAAGAAGGCCUUCGGGUUGUAAAGCACUUUUGUCCGGAAAGAAAUCGCACUUACUAAUAUUAGGUGUGGAUGACGGUACCGGAAGAAUAAGGACCGGCUAACUACGUGCCAGCAGCCGCGGUAAUACGUAGGGUCCAAGCGUUAAUCGGAAUUACUGGGCGUAAAGCGUGCGCAGGCGGUUGUGCAAGACCGAUGUGAAAUCCCCGGGCUUAACCUGGGAAUUGCAUUGGUGACUGCACGGCUAGAGUGUGUCAGAGGGGGGUAGAAUUCCACGUGUAGCAGUGAAAUGCGUAGAGAUGUGGAGGAAUACCGAUGGCGAAGGCAGCCCCCUGGGAUAACACUGACGCUCAUGCACGAAAGCGUGGGGAGCAAACAGGAUUAGAUACCCUGGUAGUCCACGCCCUAAACGAUGUCAACUAGUUGUUGGGGAUUCAUUUCCUUAGUAACGUAGCUAACGCGUGAAGUUGACCGCCUGGGGAGUACGGUCGCAAGAUUAAAACUCAAAGGAAUUGACGGGGACCCGCACAAGCGGUGGAUGAUGUGGAUUAAUUCGAUGCAACGCGAAAAACCUUACCUACCCUUGACAUGCCACUAACGAAGCAGAGAUGCAUUAGGUGCUCGAAAGAGAAAGUGGACACAGGUGCUGCAUGGCUGUCGUCAGCUCGUGUCGUGAGAUGUUGGGUUAAGUCCCGCAACGAGCGCAACCCUUGUCUCUAGUUGCUACGAAAGGGCACUCUAGAGAGACUGCCGGUGACAAACCGGAGGAAGGUGGGGAUGACGUCAAGUCCUCAUGGCCCUUAUGGGUAGGGCUUCACACGUCAUACAAUGGUGCAUACAGAGGGUUGCCAAGCCGCGAGGUGGAGCUAAUCCCAGAAAAUGCAUCGUAGUCCGGAUCGUAGUCUGCAACUCGACUACGUGAAGCUGGAAUCGCUAGUAAUCGCGGAUCAGCAUGCCGCGGUGAA
rnacentral:rRNA from 1 species